rnacentral:rRNA from 1 species
UACGGAGGGGGCUAGCGUUAUUCGGAAUUACUGGGCGUAAAGCGCACGUAGGCGGCUGUUCAAGUCAGAGGUGAAAGCCCGGAGCUCAACUCCGGAACUGCCUUUGAAACUAGACAGCUAGAAUCAUGGAGAGGUGAGUGGAAUUCCGAGUGUAGAGGUGAAAUUCGUAGAUAUUCGGAAGAACACCAGUGGCGAAGGCGGCUCACUGGACAUGUAUUGACGCUGAGGUGCGAAAGCGUGGGGAGCAAACAGG